AGAGUUUGAUCCUGGCUCAGAAUGAACGCUGGCGGCGUGCCUAACACAUGCAAGUCGGAUGUGCCGCAAGGUGCAUGGCAGACGGGUGAGUAACGCGUGGGGAAUCUACCUCUUUGUGGGGAAUAACGCUCCGAAAGGAGUGGUAAUACCGCAUGAGACCUUCGGCUGGGAUGCUGGAGGUGAAACCUGGGGACCGCAAGGCCUGGGGCAAGGAGAGGAUCCUGCGUCUGAUUAGCUAGUUGGCGGGGUAAUGGCCCACCAAGGCGACGAUCAGUAGCCGGCCUGAGAGGGUGAUCGGCCACACUGGAACUGAGACACGGUCCAGACUCCUACGGGAGGCAGCAGUGGGGAAUUUUGCGCAAUGGACGAGAGUCUGAUGCAGCAACGCCGCGUGGGUGAUGAAGGUCUUCGGACUGUAAAACCCUGUCGUCAGGGACGAAGGUGGCACGACUAAUAAUC
rnacentral:rRNA from 1 species